rnacentral:rRNA from 1 species
UCGAGCGGUAAGGCCCUUUCGGGGGUACACGAGCGGCGAACGGGUGAGUAACACGUGGGUGAUCUGCCCUGCACUUCGGGAUAAGCCUGGGAAACUGGGUCUAAUACCGGAUAUGACCAGAGGCUGCAUGGCUUUUGGUGGAAAGGUUUACUGGUGCAGGAUGGGCCCGCGGCCUAUCAGCUUGUUGGUGGGGUAAUGGCCUACCAAGGCGACGACGGGUAGCCGACCUGAGAGGGUGACCGGCCACACUGGGACUGAGACACGGCCCAGACUCCUACGGGAGGCAGCAGUGGGGAAUAUUGCACAAUGGGCGAAAGCCUGAUGCAGCGACGCCGCGUGAGGGAUGACGGCCUUCGGGUUGUAAACCUCUUUCAGCAGGGACGAAGCGAAAGUGACGGUACCUGCAGAAGAAGCACCGGCCAACUACGUGCCAGCAGCCGCGGUAAUACGUAGGGUGCGAGCGUUGUCCGGAAUUACUGGGCGUAAAGAGCUCGUAGGCGGUUUGUCGCGUCGUCUGUGAAAACCAGCAGCUCAACUGCUGGCUUGCAGGCGAUACGGGCAGACUUGAGUACUGCAGGGGAGACUGGAAUUCCUGGUGUAGCGGUGAAAUGCGCAGAUAUCAGGAGGAACACCGGUGGCGAAGGCGGGUCUCUGGGCAGUAACUGACGCUGAGGAGCGAAAGCGUGGGUAGCGAACAGGA